CAAAAGCUUGGUCCUGACUUUAACAUCAGUUGUUACCCAAAUUACACAUGCAAGUCCCCGCACCCCUGUGAGAAUGCCCUCUACCCCCGACAGGAAAAAAGGAGCAGGCAUCAGGCACACAUUAGUAGCCCAAAACGCCUUGCUUAGCCACACCCCCAAGGGAAAUCAGCAGUGAUAAACAUUAAGCCAUAAGCGAAAGCUUGACUUAGUUAGGGUUAUAAGGGCCGGUAAAACUCGUGCCAGCCACCGCGGUUAUACGAGAGGCCCAAAUUGAUGUCUUGCGGCGUAAAGUGUGAUUAAAGACUAAAACUAAACUAAGACCAAAUACCCCCUAUGCUGUCAUACGCCAUGGGGGUUACGAAGCCCAACAACGAAAGUGGCCUUAAUAGACCUUGAACUCACGACAGCUAGGGCACAAACUGGGAUUAGAUACCCCACUAUGCCUAGCCUUAAACCAAGGCGAUAGAACUACAAGACUCGCCCGCCAGGGGACUACGAGCACUAGCUUAAAACCCAAAGGACUUGGCGGUGCCUCAAACCCACCUAGAGGAGCCUGUCCUAUAACCGAUACUCCCCGUUAAACCUCACCCCUCCUUGUCAUUUCCGCCUAUAUACCGCCGUCGCCAGUUUACCUUAUGAGGGAACAACAGUAAGCAAAACGGGCAACACCCAACACGUCAGGUCGAGGUGUAGCGAAUGGAGGGGGAAGAGAUGGGCUACAUUUUCUGGCAACAGAAUAUUACGAAAGAUGUAGUGAAAAAUACACAUCCGAAGGUGGAUUUAGCAGUAAAAAGGAAAAAGAGAGCCCUUUUGAAACCGGCUCUGAGGCGCGUACACACCGCCCGUCACUCUCCUCGAAAAACGACUAAUAGUACAUAAAAACUUUUAAAAAUAGAGAGGAGGCAAGUCGUAACAUGGUAAGUGUACCGGAAGGUGUACUUGGAAUAAU
rnacentral:ncRNA from 1 species